rnacentral:rRNA from 1 species
AUUGAACGCUGGCGGCAGGCCUAACACAUGCAAGUCGAACGAGUGGCGGACGGGUGAGUAAUGUCUGGGAAACUGCCUGAUGGAGGGGGAUAACUACUGGAAACGGUAGCUAAUACCGCAUACCAUCAGAUGUGCCCAGAUGGGAUUUGCUAGUUGGUGGGGAAACAGCUCACCAGGGCGACGAUCCCUAGCUGGUCUGAGAGGAUGACCAUCCAACCUGGAACUGAGACUCGGCCCAGAAUCCUACGUGAGGCAGCAGUGGGGAAUAUUGCACAAUGGGCGCAAGCCUGAUGCAGCCAUGCCGAGUGUAUGAAGAAGGCUCUCGGGUUGUAAAGUACUUACAGCGGGGAGGCGUUACCCGCAGAAGAAGCACCGGCUAACUCCGCGCCAGCAGCCGCGGUAAUUC